GACGAACGCUGGCGGCGUGCUUAACACAUGCAAGUCGAGCGGUAAGGCCCUUUCGGGGGUACACGAGCGGCGAACGGGUGAGUAACACGUGGGUGACCUGCCCUCAGCUCUGGGAUAAGCCUGGGAAACGUGGGUCUAAUACUGGAUAUGACUCCACGGUGCAUGUCGUGGGGUGGAAAGCCUUGUGCGGCUGAGGAUGGGCCCGCGGCCUAUCAGCUUGUUGGU
rnacentral:rRNA from 1 species